UUAAUAUUCUUCUCACUUAGAAAGUGAUCAAACUGAUGGCAGCCUUGGAGCGUUGCAGGCACGAAUAGAGGAGCUUGUCGUCAUCAUCAGAGUGCGAACACAAAGUCUUUACAGACAAAAUGAUAGCAACAAGAGGCGACACAGAAUUCGCAAGGUCAUCUUAGUUGAGAAGAAACGCUUGGCGGCUGCUGUUGACGACUACAACAAGAUUGCUGAACCAACAAAACAAAUCGUAUCAAGCGAUGCCCUCAUCCAGACUGAUAUUUGGCCCUGGCAGAGCACAAGUGAACCUGCUGCUGACCUCCAGACAAAGAGAAAGGUCUUUGAGAAGGUGAUGGCUGUGAGGCGCCUGAGAGAGGAGGAGAUGAUCCUUUGCAGGGAGAUGCGGCAUCACUGGACAGUGUUGCGAAUGCGAUCUGUGGUGUUGGGGACAAUCUCCUCAGACUCCUCCCUUGUUGGCAUGUCGGAGGAUGCACAGAAGGGACUCUGUAGCCUGGUUU